rnacentral:rRNA from 1 species
UACAGAGGGUGCAAGCGUUGUUCGGAUUUACUGGGCGUAAAGGGCGCGUAGGCGGCUUGACAAGUCACUUGUGAAAUCUCCGGGCUUAACUCGGAACGGCCAAGUGAAACUGUCAUGCUAGAGUGCAGAAGGGGCAAUCGGAAUUCUUGGUGUAGCGGUGAAAUGCGUAGAUAUCAAGAGGAACACCUGAGGUGAAGACGGGUUGCUGGGCUGACACUGACGCUGAGGCGCGAAAGCCAGGGGAGCAAACGGG